rnacentral:rRNA from 1 species
CAAUAGCGUAUAUUUAAGUUGCUGCAGUUAAAAAGCUCGUAGUUGGAUUUCGGGUGGGAAUGGCCGGUCCGCCGUUUCGGUGUGCACUUGCUACGCCCACCUUGCUGCCGGGGACGUGCUCUUGAGUUCACGCUCGGGACACGGAGUCGGCGAGGUUACUUUGAGUAAAUUAGAGUGUUCAAAGCAGGCCUACGCUCUGAAUACAUUAGCAUGGAAUAACACGAUAGGACUCUGGCCUAUCUUGUUGGUCUGUAGGACCAGAGUAAUGAUUAAGAGGGACAGUCGGGGGCAUUCGUAUUUCAUUGUCAGAGGUGAAAUUCUUGGAUUUAUGAAAGACGAACUACUGCGAAAGCAUUUGCCAAGGAUGUUUUCAUUAA